rnacentral:lncRNA from 1 species
UGGGAAACUGUGGUUGCACAAAAGUGGGAUCUUUGUUUCCAAAGACGUCUGCCUCUCCUGCCCAGAGUCAUCUCAGAAAAUGAAAUUUCUGCAGAGCAGCGUCGGGAUCCUGUGAAUGAGGCCUCCCGGGGUGCUGCGGUGUGUGGUCCAGACGCCAGGGAAGGUACUGACCAUCCCAGGGU